AGAGGCCCCAUGGCCAGGUCAACAUAGCUACUGGCCCACAUACCUCUAUUCCUCGGGAACUGCUGUAGAUUGAAUUAAUAGUCUUGGUACUUUGUGUCCCUGUGGUAGUGUUAUAAGCCACACCUUUGCCGUGGUGUCAUGUGCAGAAUGUACUUCAGUGCCCCUUCACUUGGCCUGCUUCUAUGGUGACUCCUGAUGCCGUGAUUUAGGAUCCGUGUUCCUUCCGUCUUUUGGCUUUGCCACCAUCUCGGGCCUGUGGUUUUCUCCAUCUGCCAGAGUGAAGGGGAGAGAAAAUGAAAAAGACACAUAUUGAUUAUGGAAAUUGGCGAACGUGUCCUUAAAAGUAAUUAUCUAUUCAACUCCAUACCCACCAAGAGGAAAGAGGUGCCUCCCACAGAAGAGAAGUCUCUAUGCCUGGUGUGUGAGCCCUAAACAAACCAAAGAGCAAAACGUUUCCUUUAACCACUUCACUCCGUUUCCCACAGGUGGCUCAAGACGGAGCUAAAGUGAUUACAGGAGGCUUCCUGGAGCAGGAGGUGGGUGCAGAGUUGAAAUAAGUAGAAAGAAGAGAAGGAGUUAAUGAAUAUGCCUCAUAUUAUUCUUCAAAAGCCUUUAGAUUUACAAAAAGUUUCAGAGGUUAGAGGAUCCUAAAGGGGGAAGUAGUACAGGUGAGACCAAAAGGAUUUCAAGAGAACCCGAGGGAAAGAGGCCAUUUUGUGUGAUAAUUACAUUUAUAAUUUAUGGAAACUUCAGAAGGUUUACAAUAGGAUAAAAGCUUAAAGAUAUUUAUUGUUAACUAACAAAAAUAGCCAAGCAAUGGUAUCAUAACAUGUGAUCUAUUACAUCCAUUAGAAUUAUUAGAUUAGUAAAAGAAAAAAAAUGCAA